rnacentral:rRNA from 1 species
AUUGAACGCUGGCGGCAUGCCUUACACAUGCAAGUCGAACGGCAGCACGGGAGCAAUCCUGGUGGCGAGUGGCGAACGGGUGAGUAAUGUAUCGGAACGUGCCCAUUCGUGGGGGAUAACGUAGCGAAAGCUACGCUAAUACCGCAUACGAUCUAUGGAUGAAAGCGGGGGAUCGCAAGACCUCGCGCGAUUGGAGCGGCCGAUAUCAGAUUAGGUAGUUGGUGGGGUAAAGGCUCACCAAGCCGACGAUCUGUAGCUGGUCUGAGAGGACGACCAGCCACACUGGGACUGAGACACGGCCCAGACUCCUACGGGAGGCAGCAGUGGGGAAUUUUGGACAAUGGGCGCAAGCCUGAUCCAGCAAUGCCGCGUGCAGGAUGAAGGCCUUCGGGUUGUAAACUGCUUUUGUACAGAACGAAAAGGUUUCUACUAAUACUAGGAGCUCAUGACGGUACUGUAAGAAUAAGCACCGGCUAACUACGUGCCAGCAGCCGCCGUAA